CAGAAAGCACCCCUCAGUGCGUGACAUUUCACCUGCCUGCAACAGUAUUAAACCAUUAAGAUGCCUUACAAGAUAAUAGGGCGAUUAUAAGUUGCUCUACUUUUAAUAUCGCUGAGAAACAAAGAAAUAUCGACGCUGAAGGCAACAAGGAUGAACUUUUGAACUAUUGUGUUGCUACAAAUGAAGGCUAACAGAGGAGAUGAAGAGGGAUAUCUGGUCAAGCUGCACUUACUGUAGGUGGUGCUAGGUGACAAGUGGAGAUCAGCCACCCUCCAAUGAGGAAACACGACAGAGUUGGCGACCUGUCCAGGGUGUACCCUGCCUUCCGCCCGAAGCCCAGCUGGGAUAGGCUCCAGACCCCCUGUGACCCCUUACAGGAUGAGUGGUCAAGAUGAUGGAUGGAUGGAUGGAUGGAUGGA